AAAUAUUUUUCCUUCUUCCGUGCGGAAUUUUGACAUUUGAUCGCGAAAAAUAGUCUGUGCGUUUGCCGUCAGAUGUCGCUUUUGACAGCUGAAAAGUACUAUCAGCUGUUUUUGUUUAUUUGUUGAAAGCCUGCUACAAGAAAUGCUCGUUCAAUUGCCCGGCCAACCUGUGCACGAUCCGGGAUGGUCGGGUCGACAAGGAAAGCGAAUGGGCACACAACCAUGCGCCUGGGGACGACUACGAAAAGAAUGCCAUCAACCAAGGUUACAUGUAGGAUGCAAAAACAAACAAGUAGAUUGCUUACAAACCUAUUUCGGCUGAGCGGGGUCAGCGGUUGGUCGUGCACAAUGGCUACCGGUACUCGUCGGUCGGUUGAUCAGCGACGGGCGAAUCGCAUGGAAGUGCACCAAGUGUAAGGUGUUUUGCCAUCACCGGCCGUUUCGGGACAAUUAAGGAUCGUGGUACGGAGCAUAAGCACGAACUGGAUGAGAGUGAUUCGUUCCUAGGCUAUCAGCAGGAGAUGAUACAGACGAUUUGUCGCAAUCGGUUAAACUCGAUGUUAGUAAGGAACAACUUGCUGAGGAUGAUGAUGGAAACGGCGCCAAAGAAUGAGGGCAACGUUUGCGACGUUGGAGAUGAGACUUUUGAAGCUGCCGAGGGAAUGUUUAUCAUUCCUUUAGCUGUGGUUGGGCAGAGUUAGGUUUCUUGAUUUUAACAGUGGCAUAGCUGAGGGGAGAGGGGUUACCCCCCUCUACCGUUUACUCUCUCCCUCAACCCCGUCAUCUUUAAACCACCACUAUAUCACAAAGCAUACCAAAUUAUGCUGGGGAGUCGUUCCUUCGUGGAAUUUUCGCCCUCCUUCCACGCCCACCCCCGCAUGCAAAAUGAGUAACCAAGCAAAUAACAUUGAACUAAUACUGAUUAGGCUAAUUAAGUAUAUUUUUUGUUUCAAGUGUUUUACCGUCGACACGUAGCUCAUCAAGUUCGUGGCUGGCAAGCUAUUGUGUAUAAGUGCAAAGUGUACUAAGAAUGUAAUGGACAUUUCCACAUAACAAUGUGGACAAACAUUGUUGAACAUAACCAGCCACCGAGCCAUAGUAUAGAGAAAUGAGAAAGGCACAAUUGCACCGCUAGGUGGAUUAAAACAGGUUUUUUUUUUAUCACCAGUCAAUGUAAAUAUAUUAAAUACGUUUAAGCAUUUGCGAUUUUUAUUUAAUAUCACAAUCAUAUUUGCGGGUGAAUUGCUUUUCUAACCUUCCGGCCAUCACAUCAUAUGACAGGUGUACAUAAUCAUGUCGUCUCUUAAGAACCGUGGCACCUAACUAAGGCGCCAGGCUAACACUAGUCCUGCUGGUUCGAUUUCAGUAUGUCAAACAGAAC